rnacentral:rRNA from 1 species
UACGAAGGGGACUAGCGUUGUUCGGAAUCACUGGGCGUAAAGCGCACGUAGGCGGAUGUGUCAGUCAGGGGUGAAAUCCCGGGGCUCAACCUCGGAACUGCCUUUGAUACAGCACGUCUUGAGUCCGGAAGAGGUGGGUGGAAUUCCUAGUGUAGAGGUGAAAUUCGUAGAUAUUAGGAAGAACACCGGUGGCGAAGGCGGCCCACUGGUCCGGUACUGACGCUGAGGUGCGAAAGCGUGGGGAGCAAACAGG